ensembl:lncRNA
UCUCAUGGAUGGAGGAGCCUGGUGGGCUGCAGUCCAUGGGGUCGCAAAGAGUCAGACACAACUGAGCGACUUCACUUUCACUUUCAUUACAGAAGUAAUCAAGUUAGAAUUAGGUCUUUGAGAUGGUCUUUAAUCCAGUAGGACUGGUAUCCUCAUAAAAAGGGCAAAUUUGGACAGAGGCAGAUGUACACACAGGGAGAACAUGAUGGGAACAUGAAAGCAGAGACUAGGGUGAUACAUCUACAAGCCAGGAAUCCUAUAGAUUGCCAGCAAACCACCAGAAGCUAGGCAAGAAGCAUGGACCUGGCCAUCUAUCACAUCCUCAGAAAGAACGAACCUAACUGCAGGUCUACCCUUCCUGAUGAGGCUCUGAGUCCCUAAGAGGUUGGAUCUGAUUCUUAUCUGCAAGAGGCUGUGGCUUGGUGUUUGAUGAACGAGUGCAUAUAUGCCUGAAGGUGGCAAAUCAAAGGCAGGAGUCCAGACAGGCUGGAGGAUUGACACUGAACAUCUUAAAAAGCAAGCCCUUGAUCAGGGCCUUGAAUGCCGCUGUCAGAAGUCUAAUCUUAUCCUGGAGGUGCUGCCAAAGAACUUGACUGAAUUAUGUUCCUGACCUGGUGUUUUGUGGAAGGCAGAACUUGAAAGCAAUGAAACUAGAUUUGGUUUGGUUGAGGAAAUUUCCAAACCAAUUGUAAGGAGAUUAGUUUAGAUGGACAAUCUCAAUGGAAAUUAGGCGCUAUUCAUCAAGACAAUAGUCAGAUGUCCAAACAGAAGAGCCAAGAUCUGUUGUCCAUGACAAAACAUCAAUGGAAGAAUGAUCCAGAAGGCAUUUUGGAGAUCUGCUGCCUCCCCCUCUGCUCCAACUCCAAAGGCCCUGAGUGCAAAAUGGCAGGACAAUUUUAAAGGCUUAUCCUAAGCCAGUGCUACCAUUGCAAUUUGGAAGCAUAUAACACGGUUGAUUUCACAGGUUCACAUCUGGAAUCUCAUCCAUGGCUGAUUUAGAUGAGACUUUGGACUUACACUUUUAAAUUAAUGGUGGAAUGUGUUAAGACUUUUGGAGCUAUUGAAACUGAGCAGGACUUGAGAAAUUACCUGAGACCAAGGAAGUGCAAGCCCUGAACACACCCUAAUCUUAUCAGCAACCCCACCCUUGAACCAUUGCUAUAAAACCUCCCUGGUGGGAACACAUAGUUUUUGAGGGACAUGAGUCCCUGUGUCCCCUUUUGCCUGGCAAAGCAAUAAAGCUAUUCUUUUUUACUUCAACCAAAACUCUGUCUCCAAGAUUCAAUUUGGUAUCAGUGCACAGAGGCCAAGCUUUUGGUUUCAGAUUUAGCAAUGUGGAGUCAUUGGGACUUUGAUAAGAAUGAUUCUAGUGAAUAGGUGUAAAAAUAUGAUUACAACGAAUUCAGAAUCGAUGGGAGGGACUUCCCUGAUGGUCCAGUGGUCAAGACUGUACUUCCAUUGCAAGAGGCAUGAGUUUGAUCCCUGUUCAGGGAACUAAGAUCCUGCAUGCCUUAAGGGGUAGCAAAAAAAAAAAAAAAGGCAAUGGGAGAGUAAUUUGAGACAACAAGCAGAAAUUAGUUUGAGGAGAUCAUCUCUGUAAAGAGGAGUAGAGGAAU